rnacentral:rRNA from 1 species
GACGGGGGGGUCCUAGCGUUGUUCGGAAUCAUUGGGCGUAAAGCGGGGCGUAGGUGGCUAGUGUAAGUCAGGAGUGAAAGCCCUAGGGCUCGAACCCAGGAAGUGCUUUUGAAACUGCUGUAGCUUGAGUGUGGAAGAGGAUAGUGGAAUUCCUGGUGUAGUGGUGAAAUACGUAGAUAUCAGGAGGAACACCGGCGGCGAAAGGCGGCUAUCUGGUCCAACACUGACACUGAGGCCCGAAAGCGUGGGGAUCAAACAGGG